rnacentral:rRNA from 1 species
AGAGUUUGAUCAUGGCUCAGGAUGAACGCUGGCGGCGUGCUUAACACAUGCAAGUCGAACGGAGCAUUUCUGCAGAUUCCUUUCGGGGAUGAUGCAGGAAUUGCUUAGUGGCGGACGGGUGAGUAACGCGUGGGCAACCUGCCCUGUACAGGGGGAUAACAGCCGGAAACGGCUGCCAAUACCGCAUAAGCGCACAGUGCCGCAUGGCACAGUGUGAAAAACUCCGGUGGUACAGGAUGGGCCCGCGUCUGAUUAGCUUGUUGGCGGGGCAGCGGCCCACCAAGGCGACGAUCAGUAGCCGGCCUGAGAGGGCGGCCGGCCACAUUGGGACUGAGACACGGCCCAGACUCCUGCGGGAGGCAGCAGUGGGGAAUAUUGCACAAUGGGGGGAACCCUGAUGCAGCGACGCCGCGUGAGCGAAGAAGUAUUUCGGUAUGUAAAGCUCUAUCAGCAGGGAAGAAAAUGACGGUACCUGACUAAGAAGCUCCGGCUAAAUACGUGCCAGCAGCCGCGGUAAUACGUAUGGAGCAAGCGUUAUCCGGAUUUACUGGGUGUAAAGGGAGCGCAGGCGGUGGUGCAAGUCUGAUGUGAAAACCCGGGGCUCAACCCCGGGAGUGCAUUGGAAACUGCGUCACUGGAGUGUCGGAGGGGUAAGCGGAAUUCCUAGUGUAGCGGUGAAAUGCGUAGAUAUUAGGAGGAACACCAGUGGCGAAGGCGGCUUACUGGACGACAACUGACGCUGAGGCUCGAAAGCGUGGGGAGCAAACAGGAUUAGAUACCCUGGUAGUCCACGCCGUAAA